UUUCCGUAGGUGGACCUGCGGAAGGAUCAUUAACGAGUAAGGGUCAUUCUGGCCCGACCUCCAACACUUUGUUUAAUUACUAUGUUGCUUUGGCGGGCCCGUUUCACGACCCCCGGAAGUCCUCGGACUUCUCGCCCGUGCCCGCCAAUUUCCUUCUACAAACUGUUGAACAAUUGUGAUGUCGGAGUAUUAAAUUUAAUAUUUAAAACUAUCAACAACGGUUCGCUUAGUUCUGGCAUCGAUGAAAAACGCAGCCGAUCAGAUGGUAACACGUCUGAA
rnacentral:misc_RNA from 1 species